UUGAUCGAGGCGCCUACUUACUUACACAAAAAUGAAAAGAUUUAAUUUUCCCCCCAAAAUCAUACCCACUCUGUUACCGCGUAGCUCCUUCUCCACUUCGUCUUGCUUUUCCAUUGCUCGUACCUUCAAUGCCCCUGUAACCAACUUGAUACACACAGGGUGAAAAUCUACCCCCACUGUCGACUACGUCCCGAACCCUAGAUUCUCCUCCACUUCAAAUUCCAUCAGCGGAAGCUACGGUCAUGUUUUCCUGAGUAGACGAGCUCUGUUCCUCCAUCGUUACUAUCGGAGUGAUUUCCUAAACGAUAGCUUUUUGUAUCGGUAGCCAAACGGGAGGACGAGACUCUUGGGUAUUUACAUACCCAACGUCACCGCAGGAUUCCAACGUAUCUACUCCCUCUACUUGCCAUUGAGAACAAGGAAAAGCCUUAUGAACAUCUAAGGCAUACUAGCUUAGGUGCUAUCGAUUCCUUAGUGAAGGGCAACAGGACUUACAUUGGUAAUUGCAUUUGCACUGCUUUUGGAUGGUACUUCAACUUUCAAUGGUGGCAGAGUAGGUCUCUUUAAUCAGCACUUCUUUACUUGCAUUUGAGAAAACUCAUAUACAGGUAUGCCUUUGAAUAUGGGAGCAAUUACUUUUAGUUGAAAGUGAUGAAGUGCACUUAGGAUCGACUUGAAGUUUCUGCUUGGCUAUGUACUGAACAUAUUUCUACUUGUUGUAUACUGAAUGUACUGAACAUAUUUUUACUUGUUGUAUACUGAAUGUACUUUGUUGUUAUUUUCUA